rnacentral:rRNA from 1 species
UACAGAGGGUGCAAGCGUUAUCCGGAUUCACUGGGUUUAAAGGGUGCGUAGGUGGGCAGGUAAGUCAGUGGUGAAAUCUCCGAGCUUAACUCGGAAACUGCCGUUGAUACUAUUUGUCUUGAAUAUUGUGGAGGUAAGCGGAAUAUGUCAUGUAGCGGUGAAAUGCUUAGAUAUGACAUAGAACACCAAUUGCGAAGGCAGCUUACUACGGAUUGAUUGACACUGAGGCACGAAAGCGUGGGGAUCAAACAGG